rnacentral:rRNA from 1 species
AGACCCGAAACCCGGUGAUCUAGCCAUGGGCAGGUUGAAGGUUGGGUAACACUAACUGGAGGACCGAACCGACUAAUGUUGAAAAAUUAGCGGAUGACCUGUGGCUGGGGGUGAAAGGCCAAUCAAACCGGGAGAUAGCUGGUUCUCCCCGAAAGCUAUUUAGGUAGCGCCUCGUGAAUUCAUCUCCGGGGGUAGAGCACUGUUUCGGCUAGGGGGCCAUCCCGGCUUACCAACCCGAUGCAAACUGCGAAUACCGGAGAAUGUUAUCACGGGAGACACACGGCGGGUGCUAACGUCCGUCGUGAAGAGGGAAACAACCCAGACCGCCAGCUAAGGUCCCAAAGUCAUGGUUAAGUGGGAAACGAUGUGGGAAGGCCCAGACAGCCAGGAUGUUGGCUUAGAAGCAGCCAUCAUUUAAAGAAAGCGUAAUAGCUCACUGGUCGAGUCGGCCUGCGCGGAAGAUGUAACGGGGCUAAACCAUGCACCGAAGCUGCGGCAGCGACACUGUGUGUUGUUGGGUAGGGGAGCGUUCUGUAAGCCUGUGAAGGUGGCCUGUGAGGGUUGCUGGAGGUAUCAGAAGUGCGAAUGCUGACAUAAGUAACGAUAAAGCGGGUGAAAAGCCCGCUCGCCGGAAGACCAAGGGUUCCUGUCCAACGUUAAUCGGGGCAGGGUGAGUCGACCCCUAAGGCGAGGCCGAAAGGCGUAGUCGAUGGGAAACGGGUUAAUAUUCCCGUACUUGGUGUUACUGCGAAGGGGGGACGGAGAAGGCUAUGUUGGCCGGGCGACGGUUGUCCCGGUUUAAGCGUGUAGGUGUGUGUUCCAGGUAAAUCCGGUUCACUUUAACACUGAGGCGUGACGACGAGGCACUACGGUGCUGAAGCAACAAAUGCCCUGCUUCCAGGAAAAGCCUCUAAGCAUCAGGUAACAUCAAAUCGUACCCCAAACCGACACAGGUGGUCAGGUAGAGAAUACCAAGGCGCUUGAGAGAACUCGGGUGAAGGAACUAGGCAAAAUGGUGCCGUAACUUCGGGAGAAGGCACGCUGACACGUAGGUGAAGUGAUUUACUCACGGAGCUGAAGUCAGUCGAAGAUACCAGCUGGCUGCAACUGUUUAUUAAAAACACAGCACUGUGCAAACACGAAAGUGGACGUAUACGGUGUGACGCCUGCCCGGUGCCGGAAGGUUAAUUGAUGGGGUCAGCGCAAGCGAAGCUCCUGAUCGAAGCCCCGGUAAACGGCGGCCGUAACUAUAACGGUCCUAAGGUAGCGAAAUUCCUUGUCGGGUAAGUUCCGACCUGCACGAAUGGCGUAAUGAUGGCCAGGCUGUCUCCACCCGAGACUCAGUGAAAUUGAACUCGCUGUGAAGAUGCAGUGUACCCGCGGCAAGACGGAAAGACCCCGUGAACCUUUACUAUAGCUUGACACUGAACAUUGAGCCUUGAUGUGUAGGAUAGGUGGGAGGCUUUGAAGCGUGGACGCCAGUCUGC